rnacentral:rRNA from 1 species
AGUGAACGCUGGCGGUAGGCCUAACACAUGCAAGUCGAACGGCAGCACAGUAAGAGCUUGCUCUUACGGGUGGCGAGUGGCGGACGGGUGAGGAAUACAUCGGAAUCUACUUUUUCGUGGGGGAUAACGUAGGGAAACUUACGCUAAUACCGCAUACGACCUACGGUUGAAAGCAGGGGAUCUUCGGACCUUGCGCGAUUGAAUGGGCCGAUGUCGGAUUAGCUAGUUGGCGGGGUAAAGGCCCACCAAGGCGACGAUCCGUAGCUGGUCUGAGAGGAUGAUCAGCCACACUGGAACUGAGACACGGUCCAGACUCCUACGGGAGGCAGAAGUGGGGAAUAUUGGACAAUGGGCGCAAGCCUGAUCCAGCCAUACCGCGUGGGUGAAGAAGGCCUUCGGGUUGUAAAGCCCUUUUGUUGGGAAAGAAAAGCAGCAGGUUAAUACCCCGCUGUUCUGACGGUACCCAAAGAAUAAGCACCGGCUAACUUCGUG